rnacentral:rRNA from 1 species
UACAGAGGGGGCAAGCGUUAUUCGGAAUUAUUGGGCGUAGAGGGCGCGUAGGCGGCCUGACAAGUGGAUGGUGAAAUCCCUCAGCUUAACUGGGGAACUGCGUCUGAUACUGGAUGGCUUGAGUUUGGGAGAGGGAUGCGGAAUUCCAGGUGUAGCGGUGAAAUGCGUAGAUAUCUGGAGGAACACCGGUGGCGAAGGCGGCAUCCUGGACCAACACUGACACUGAGGAGCGAAAGCCAGGGGAGCAAACGGG